UCCAUUCAGUAGCAAUACUGAGGAAGACCUAGUGGCGAACGGGUGAGUAACACGUGAGGAACCUGCCCCGAAGACUGGGAUAACGCUCCGAAAGGAACGCUAAUACCGGAUACCUUCACCAAGCCGCAUGACCUGGUGAAGAAAUGGAUUCCGCUUCGGGAGGGUCUCGCGGCCUAUCAGCUUGUUGGUGGGGUAACGGCCCACCAAGGCUUCGACGGGUAGCUGGUCUGAGAGGACGAUCAGCCACACUGGGACUGAGACACGGCCCAGACUCCUACGGGAGGCAGCAGUGGGGAAUCUUGCGCAAUGGGCGAAAGCCUGACGCAGCAACGCCGCGUGGGGGAUGAAGGCUCUCGGG
rnacentral:rRNA from 1 species